GGGGUGCACCCUGGGCUCUGAGGCGGUAGUGUGACAUGGGCUGCAGCCUCUCACUUCCUCUCAUUCCAUUCCCACCUUGGAACUGGCCGGGUACUGGAAUGUUCUCUAUAGAAAAUCCAGAAAGACCACAGGAGAAUGAAGACGUUGACUCCAUUCAGUUUGCCUGGUUCUUAGAAGCCUCAUGAGAACUCUCAGCGGGCUCUGGACCCUCACCAUCACUCCUGACCCUGGUUGGAGCGCACAGAAUUCCCCGCAGAGAAUCGAACCAGAAUGGAAAAAACAAAUAUUCCGGGCUGAAAAAGAAAGAUGCUUCCCGGAAGUUAUGAUGGCAUCGCAUCGCGUGGGAGCGCCUUCCUUCUGUGGCCGAGAAAACGGAGGGCUAUUAAUGGAUACAGAUUGUGGGUGGCCUAUUUCCUUGCAAGUCAUCCCAAGUGGAAGGCCUAACUGUGCUCCGUCAAGCUCUUUUCCUCGAAUUCAUUUGCAAAAAAUCGCUUCCAGAGUUUCCCUGCAGAGGAAGAAUACACCAUAUUAUUUUAGAGAAGGCCAAACACCGCGCGAGAAUUCCUGGUCCUGUAGCCUUGUCUCCCACACCCUCGUGCAUCCCUGACUGCAGGCUUGCAUCUACUUGGUACUCACUGUCGCUGGCAGGCUGGGGCGGGGGAGGGCGGCCCCCGUUUCCAGGCUCUACCACUCUUUUAUUUAUUUAUUUUUUUUUGGGUACGCGGGCCUCUCACUGUUGUGGCCUCUCCCGUUGCGGAGCACGGGCUCUGGACGCGCAGGCCCAGCGGCCAUGGCCCACGGGCCCAGCCACUCCGCAGCAUGUGGGAUCUUCCCGGACAAGGGCACGAACCCGUGUCCCCUGCAUCGACAGGCGGACUCUCAACCACUGCGCCACCAGGGAAGUCCUCUACCACUCUUUUAGAGCACAGAUGGAGGAGGGGUGAAGUGUGUUCCUAGGCCCUUCUCCUCAACACUCCUGGUCUAGUGCAUUUUGGAUGUGACCUCGAGAGACACCUCUGUCCACAAAAAUGGCCCCAGGUAGCAGUAGUCAGAGUCCGGGAAGGCCCUAGGGCCAGAGGUCCAUUUGGCUACCUUGGAAUCUGUCCUUAAGGCCACAGAACAGCCUCAGCUGGGGUCCCGCUGGAGCCUGUACUCGCACUUUUUCUUCUUCUAGUCCCGAUUCCCUAUCAGGAACCUAGUGUUUAAGGUGGGGGGACAGACGUGGUGAGGCAGAAUUAGACUUGGGCAGUGAAUCUUCUCUGUAGUCUGAGAAAUAAGUGAAGAUCUAUCUCGGGUCAUCUCAUCCGAGCUUUAGACUUAACAAGACAGGCUAUCCAAUGCCACGGGUGGAGGAGAUGUUAUUCAUUGAAAGUUCUCUUAGGGCAAGUUCUCUUAGGUAUUUAUUUGGAAGCAUGUGUCCACAGAAUGAAAUCCCAAGGGUAUAAUGAAACCGCAGAAGGGGAUUCCCAAACUGAUACAAGACCAGAGGUACUUGCUUUGCUUGGUGGCGGAAUGGGGAUGGCCAGGGAGAGACAGCGGGAAAGGGGCCAGUGAAAAAAAUGAGCCCUCUGCAAUCUUCAGAAAAUACACUUGACUGAUGAACUCACCAAACGUUCAGAGGCUGGGGCGGGGAGGGUAAUGGGGUCACAGACACUGGGGGCUUCUAUUCUGAUGGGCCCCAAGAUUGAUAGUUGGGUUGGGGAUGGGUCUCAGCCAAACAAACUUAGACCUCAGGGUGGAAGGGGAUGCCCGUGGACGUGUGUGUUCCAUCACAAAUAAACGAGCGAGUUUGGAAUGA